rnacentral:tRNA from 1 species
AGAGAAAUAGCUCAGUGGUAGAGCACAUGCUUAACAUGCAUGAGGUCCUGGGUUCAACCCCCAGGAUCUCCA